AGAGUUUGAUCCUGGCUCAGGAUGAACGCCGGCGGUGUGCCUAAUACAUGCAAGUCGAACGCGUUGGCCCAAUUGAUUGAUGGUGCUUGCACCUGAUUGAUUUUGGUCGCCAACGAGUGGCGGACGGGUGAGUAACACGUAGGUAACCUGCCCAGAAGCGGGGGACAACAUUUGGAAACAGAUGCUAAUACCGCAUAACAGCGUUGUUCGCAUGAACAACGCUUAAAAGAUGGCUUCUUGCUAUCACUUCUGGAUGGACCUGCGGUGCAUUAGCUUGUUGGUGGGGUAACGGCCUACCAAGGCGAUGAUGCAUAGCCGAGUUGAGAGACUGAUCGGCCACAAUGGGACUGAGACACGGCCCAUACUCCUACGGGAGGCAGCAGUAGGGAAUCUUCCACAAUGGGCGCAAGCCUGAUGGAGCAACACCGCGUGAGUGAAGAAGGGUUUCGGCUCGUAAAGCUCUGUUGUUAAAGAAGAACACGUAUGAGAGUAAUUGUUCAUACGUUGACGGUAUUUAACCAGAAAGUCACGGCUAACUACGUGCCAGCAGCCGCGGUAAUACGUAGGUGGCAAGCGUUAUCCGGAUUUAUUGGGCGUAAAGAGAGUGCAGGCGGUUUUCUAAGUCUGAUGUGAAAGCCUUCGGCUUAACCGGAGAAGUGCAUCGGAAACUGGAUAACUUGAGUGCAGAAGAGGGUAGUGGAACUCCAUGUGUAGCGGUGGAAUGCGUAGAUAUAUGGAAGAACACCAGUGGCGAAGGCGGCUACCUGGUCUGCAACUGACGCUGAGACUCGAAAGCAUGGGUAGCGAACAGGAUUAGAUACCCUGGUAGUCCAUGCCGUAAACGAUGAGUGCUAGGUGUUGGAGGGUUUCCGCCCUUCAGUGCCGGAGCUAACGCAUUAAGCACUCCGCCUGGGGAGUACGACCGCAAGGUUGAAACUCAAAGGAAUUGACGGGGGCCCGCACAAGCGGUGGAGCAUGUGGUUUAAUUCGAAGCUACGCGAAGAACCUUACCAGGUCUUGACAUCUUGCGCCAACCCUAGAGAUAGGGCGUUUCCUUCGGGAACGCAAUGACAGGUGGUGCAUGGUCGUCGUCAGCUCGUGUCGUGAGAUGUUGGGUUAAGUCCCGCAACGAGCGCAACCCUUGUUACUAGUUGCCAGCAUUAAGUUGGGCACUCUAGUGAGACUGCCGGUGACAAACCGGAGGAAGGUGGGGACGACGUCAGAUCAUCAUGCCCCUUAUGACCUGGGCUACACACGUGCUACAAUGGACGGUACAACGAGUCGCGAACUCGCGAGGGCAAGCAAAUCUCUUAAAACCGUUCUCAGUUCGGACUGCAGGCUGCAACUCGCCUGCACGAAGUCGGAAUCGCUAGUAAUCGCGGAUCAGCAUGCCGCGGUGAAUACGUUCCCGGGCCUUGUACACACCGCCCGUCACACCAUGAGAGUUUGUAACACCCAAAGUCGGUGGGGUAACCUUUUAGGAGCCAGCCGCCUAAGGUGGGACAGAUGAUUAGGGUGAAGUCGUAACAAGGUAGCCGUAGGAGAACCUGCGGCUG
rnacentral:rRNA from 1 species